UCAAAAAAUAUGGCCUUUUAUUGUCUUGGAUGCAAAUAUAGUUUUCAAACUGCAUUGUAGUGUUGAAUACAGCUGGUGGAAAGGUGCUUCUCAACAGCGGAGCAUAAACGGCCUUGCUCUGAAUGGCGCAGGCCUGAGGCUUGGGGCCUCCGGUGAGCAAGACUCUUCUUGGGUUUUGUUUUUCUGCCCACGAGGGGUGACUGUUUGCUACAGAAGCCCUGACACAGUCACCGGAGCUCACAAGAGAAAAAAAUGAACCAUUUACACAAUGAACUGAAAGCAGAAAAAGGAAAAGAACGUGCUGUUUCAGCUGUGGCGUUACAGAAGAAGCCCACAAACACGAGUGUGAACAGAUUCAGAUAAAGCAGCAGCAAGGGCGCCGAGGGAGGGGCCUCGUGCCAGUUCCCUCGGGGACACACAGCCUCGGCUCCAUGUCUCCUACCUUUUAACUGCAGGAAGGAAACUUUAUGGAAAUGUAUCGAACUUCAGUUUCUCCCAACCCUCUCCACCACCUCAACUCUUGAGGAUGGCACCUCUCUGUUCACAUACCCAGGAGAGAAUUCUUCCAAUUAGCGACACCCAGGGUUGACUCUGGAACCAAAAGGUUGACUGGGAGAUAAAAGCGAAUUUUGCUACAUAAUUGUCAAGGUAUUUCACAAAAAUAAAAUCCAUUAAAAACACCCACAAACACGCACACACACACACACACACAGAGCCAACAUUCAACAGGAAAAGUUCCCUUUUCUUUCUCAAAGGCUGAUUUUUACAAGCCUCGACAGGAACGGCCCCCACGUGGUGAGCUGGGAAAGCCAAGGCCUCAGAAGGGAAAGACAAUGGGGCAGGUGAUGGAGGGGAUGUGGUGAAAAUCUUUAAUAUACAAGGCAUCAGGGACAUCGAGCCAAAAACCAUGGCCCACCACUGCUGCGCACCCACCUCAGGGCUCGCCAGCUCCCUUCCUCGUUGUCAAGGCCACUGCAGAGGAAGCACUUUGCAAAGUGGCUCCGACAAGCAGCAGACCGGGCGGGUUUCACCUGCAGCAAAUCAAUCAGCGGAAGCAAGGCAUCUCUAGGGAAAGGCAAUUCCUCCACCAGAGAGAGGAGAGCAGCUAUACUCAGCUUAGUUAGGGGCCUGGGGCCGUGAGAGAGACAGAAGACGCAGGCAGAGCUAGAUGACCAUGGGAGGGGAAGAGCAUAGGGGUGCUAUGCCAAGGCUGCC
rnacentral:lncRNA from 1 species